UACUUGUCAUGCACAAAUUUGCACAACAAAUAAUGUGAGCCAGUCAUUCAGACUACAUGAAAGCUAAAUUGUUCAAACAAAUUGACAACAAUCAACGAAAUUGUUGAUUGCCUGACUGACAACACAAUAAAUUUAUGAAAACACUAAAACCAAAGCAACACAACACAACUCAACUCAACUGAAAAUCAACUUAAAUAGCUAUGGCUAUGGAAGAAAAAUCACAAUCUCAAUUUCAUGCAUUUUAAACAAUUGAAAUUCGAAACUCAUAAUUUUAUUUUGGCUGUUGCAAACAAAACCAAAAAGGAAAACCAAAAAAACAACAACACAAGAAGCCCAACCGAAGCGAAGACAAACAAAAACAGAAGAAGAAAAAAAAAACGAAAACCACGAUUCUGCAAAAACCAAGUAAACUCGGAUUACAAAAGUUUUUUCCCAUGACCUCGAAAAUCAGGAGUAAUUUUAGUAGACCAGCGCCAAUGGCUAACCGCCAAGAGUCAACAGUAAAAACAUCAACUGAAUAACAACAGAGAGCAGUUAUGAUAAGUGUGAUAACCUAUUACAGUUCUCAUGAGUUAACCCCGAUGAGAUGUGGAGAGGGAUCAAUCAGACAUCCAACAUUUCCUACACCAUCCUCUAUGCCUAUUGUGCUUCAUGGAAAUUACCCAAAUGCAAAAUGUUGUGAAAAUGUCGUGAUUUUUAUUAAUUAAUAAAACCGCAGGCCAUCAUUAA
rnacentral:sRNA from 1 species